UAACACAUGCAAGUCAAACGGGUGGUAACACCAGUGGCGCACGGGUGAGUAAUGCAUGGGUCAUCUGCCUCGUAGAGGGGGAUAACUACGCGAAAGUGUAGCUAAUACCGCAUACGCAGGGAACUGCAAAGGAGGGGAUCGCAAGACCUUCCGCUACGAGAUGAGCUCAUGUCCCAUUAGCUAGUUGGCGGGGUAACAGCCCACCAAGGCUUAGAUGGGUAGCUGGUCUGAGAGGACGAUCAGCCACACUGGAACUGAGACACGGUCCAGACUCCUACGGGAGGCAGCAGUGGGGAAUAUUGCGCAAUGGGCGAAAGCCUGACGCAGCAACGCCGCGUGAGUGAUGAAGGCCUUCGGGUUGUAAAGCUCUUUCGGUUGGGAAGAAGGGUGUGCGUACUAAUAAUACGUACAUUUGAUGGUACCAAAAGAAGAAGCACCGGCUAACUUCGUGCCAGCAGCCGCGGUAAUACGAAGGGUGCGAGCGUUGUUCGGAAUGACUGGGCGUAAAGGGUUCGUAGGCGGGAGUGCAAGUCAAGUGUGAAAUCCCCAGGCUUAACCUGGGACGUGCACUUGAAACUGCAUUUCUUGAGUCGAGGAGAGGGUGAUGGAAUUGCUGGUGUAGGAGUGACAUCCGUAGAGAUCAGCAGGAACACCGGAGGCGAAGGCGAUCACCUGGCCGAAGACUGACGCUGAGGAAUGAUAGCGUGGGGAGCAAACAGGAUUAGAUACCCUGGUAGUCCACGCCGUAAACGAUGAUAACUAGAUGUUGCGGGAAUUGACCCCUGCAGUAUCGCAGCUCACGCAUUAAGUUAUCCGCCUGGGGAGUACGGCCGCAAGGCUAAAACUCAAAGGAAUUGACGG
rnacentral:rRNA from 1 species